CCAGACUCCUACGGGAGGCAGCAGUGGGGAAUAUUGCACAAUGGGGGAAACCCUGAUGCAGCGACGCCGCGUGAAGGACGAAGUAUUUCGGUACGUAAACUUCUAUCAGCAGGGAAGAAAAUGACGGUACCUGACCAAGAAGCCCCGGCUAACUACGUGCCAGCAGCCGCGGUAAUACGUAGGGGGCAAGCGUUAUCCGGAUUUACUGGGUGUAAAGGGAGCGUAGACGGCCAUGCAAGUCUGAUGUGAAAACCCGGGGCUCAACCCCGGGACUGCAUUGGAAACUGUGUGGCUGGAGUGUCGGAGAGGCAAGUGGAAUUCCUAGUGUAGCGGUGAAAUGCGUAGAUAUUAGGAGGAACACCAGUGGCGAAGGCGGCUUGCUGGACGACGACUGACGUUGAGGCUCGAAAGCGUGGGGAGCAAACAGGAUUAGAUACCCCAGUAGA
rnacentral:rRNA from 1 species